GCCCCGCCGCGCCGCCGCCGCAGCCCUGCCGCGCCGCCCCCGCCCGCCGGCCAAGGUGCCCUCCGCGCCUGCCGGCACCCACCUGCGGCGGGCAGCCGCCCCCCGCCUGCCCCCGCCGCGCCGGCGGCAGCGGCCCGGGCCCGGCGAGAGAUCCUCCAUCACAGCUUUCAUGACAUACUUGAUGACUUGGACACACUUCUGGAAACGGGAAGCUGGACUGUCUUGUGUAGUGAAGCUACGGGGUGGCACAGGCCACGCUGCUGUGGAGGAGGCAGGCUGCAGACUCGCCUAUGCUCCAUGACUCACCUCUGGCACCCUGGUCCUUCUGCUACAGCCUGGUCACUCUCCGUGUCCCCAGGGCUGGCGCACUGGCUUGUCCUCUGGGAGGGCUCUGGGGCCUCUCUUCACAAACUGGACUCCUCCUGGCUGUCCUAUUUAAAUCGUCCAACUUAGCCCUGCUGUCUGGUUCAUGGUAACAAGAUGGGAAAUAUAUUUUGUCGUCCGAGAAAAUCAGUUUAAAUCCCUGAAGAACCAGAUGCCACUGCCAACAAAUCUCAAUAAGAGAAGGAGGGGAAAUGGCAAAUUCCUUGGAAAAAGUAGAGAUUUACAGGGUUCUAGAAAUCUAAUUACUGAGCCUGCACUACUCAUUAAACAAACAGGCCUGUGUGAUGCUGGUUUAUGUUUUCCCCAUUUCUCAAAAUGGCAGUUCCAGAUUUGGCAGCACUGUGCAGCAAAGGAUCAUUCUGGGGACCCUGGCAUAAGAAAAGCCGUGACUGUUUUCCUAUCGAGGCAGAGACCUCCAGAGAAGGUUCCCUUGACACUGUAUUUUUAGUGUAAUCUUCUCAGGAAAAAAUUGCUUUAUUCUCUCAGCUGAACCUGCAAGUCUCAUUCUGAAUGUGGUUGAAUAAAGUUAGGGAAUUGAUAAAGUAA